GUCUGCUCGUUACCAAGAGCAGUCUGACCUGCCCACUGAUAUUUGAAUUUAAAGGCCGCGGUAUCCUGACCGUGCGAAGGUAGCAUAAUAAUUAGUCUUUUAAUUGAAGACUGGAAUGAAAGGUCGGACAAAAAGCAAACUGUCUCAGCUCUUUCCCUUGAAAUUUACUUUUAAGUGAAAAGGCUUAAAUAAACCUAAAGGACGACAAGACCCUAUAAAACUUCAUAUCCAUAUAACUAGUCGCCUAAUUGUUUGUGAAAACUCGCCUAAUUAUGUGAGUAUUGCGUUGGGGAGACGAGAGUAUAAUAAAUAACUGCUCUCUUAUAUCAACAAAAAUUUUUGAAUCUAUGACCCUUUUUCAAGAUCUAAAGAAAAAGUUACUUUAGGGAUAACAGCGUAAUUUUUUUUAAGAGUUCUUAUCGACAAAAAAGUUUGCGACCUCGAUGUUGAAUUAAAAUUUCCUUAUAGUGCAGCAAUUAUAAAGGUAGGUCUGUUCGACCUUUAAAAUUUUACAUGAUUUGAGUUCAAACCGGCGCGAG
rnacentral:rRNA from 1 species